rnacentral:tRNA from 1 species
GUGGAUGUAGCUCAUUGUCAGAGCAUAUGUUUAGCAUGUAUAAGGUCCUGGGUCUGAUCCCCAGCACACACA